AGUUUUAUCUCGGGGCCCAACGGCUCCAGCCUGCUCCAGUCUGCUGGGCACCUGUUACAGUUUAGAUAGGAAUCAGCCCUGUUAUCGCCGUGCACUAUCUACCGGGCACUAUAUUUGCAUAUACACGAAUAUGUUGCUGGAUUCCAUAUCUCAAAUAUGUUCAUACAUAUGAACCUAUGUAUGUACAUAUGUAUGUACAUAGGCUGCUUGUAAAACGAUUCUAUUAUCGCGUGUCUAGAGUGAGUGUUUUCCUUUGUUACGCUUUCGCUGGAUCGUGUUGGUGUUCGUUCGUUCGGUUCGUGAUAUCGCGCUUCUGCUUUCCAAGCUCUGCGAAGGGAGAAAGAUGCUGAUUAUGCUUUUGUUUUUGUUUUCGCUUUCGUUUUCGUUUUGAAUUAUCUAAAGAGAGUGUGACGUAGUGACAAAAACUGCAGCAAGGGAGAGAGUGUCUGGUGGUUGAUGGCUCUCAGCUUCUACUCUCCCUUGCGAUUUUGUGAUUAGGUCGUGUGGUAGUUUUGCUUUGAUUGAGAUGCGUAAAGCUGGAAGCUGUACGAAUGAAGAGAUUAUGGUUUAACACUUUCAAUGAUGAGCGCAUAUAUUGCUAAAUAAUAAUCAACAGUUAUUCAUGAGAAAAUCUGCAGGGAAUAUCAUGAUAGCAGCGCCAUCAGCAGGCCAUUUCUCACACACGCUCUUUGGCUGUCGAUUGAAGCGCAACAUUUAAUUGUUGCAAAAAUUCAACAAAGGCAACGAUAGGAGGAUGGACAAAUGGGAUACCCUGGAUAUGAGAUGCUUAUACAUAUAUCAUUUUAUUGUAUUUAUUUGGUAAUUAAUUAUGAAAUCUUUCAUCACGAUAAAGUGCUCCCAGGAAAGUGCUUUCCAGAGCGCAAAUCAAUACAGAAUUCUACUCUAUAGCUAUCCUCCUGCUUCUAUGCGCUACAAACCUUUGGUGUCUGCCAUCAUGCCCCUCGAAAUGCAAAAAUAACACAGAAAAAUAGAACGAGAAAGAGACAGAAGAGAAAGAGCAGCAAGAAACGCGAGUGAAACGCUUUGCAUAACAAAUUCAAUUAAAUAAGCUAGUGCAUGAAUUAAAAACAUAUUAAGCUUAAUUGGAAAAUGAAAAUUCGGUUAACAUGCGAAUAAUACACAAUGUUAAGAGCAUAUUCUUCUUCUCUCUUGCACAGCAACAACAA